AAACAACAGAUAAUUACACUCUACGGAUGUUCUGCAUUGGGUUCACCAAGAGACGCCCUAACCAGGUUAAGCGGACCUGUUAUGCACAGUCGAGCCAGAUCAAACAGAUUCGUCGGAAGAUGAGUGAAAUCAUGAUCAACCAGGCCACUUCUUGCGACCUGAAGGAACUGGUGCUGAAGUUCAUUCCUGAAAUGAUAGGAAAGGAGAUUGAGAGGCAAACUCACGGAAUUUAUCCUCUGCAGAAUGUGUUCAUCAGGAAAGUCAAAAUCCUGAAGGCUCCCAAGUUCGAUCUUGGAAAGCUGAUGGAGGUCCAUGAUACCUCUGGUGAAGAUGUUGGUAUGAAGAUUGAUAGGCCUGCUGAGGAGCUGGUAGCAGAGGGA
rnacentral:misc_RNA from 1 species